GGUUGAGUUGAGUUGAGUUGAGUAGCCCUCUAGCUAACCUGCUUUUUCAUAAUCAACAAUUAAAGCAAUGAAUUGCAUUAUUUAUUUUCAUAGCUACUAACCUCCUUGUUAUGGUGAGUGUUUAUUGGUUUGUUAUUCUUAAAAGUGUUUAUCCUUGAAUUGAAAGUUUGAAACUUUUGUUUAUCAUUGGAUUUGAAUGAGUGUUAGCUGAAUUAUUGGAGCUCAAAAAAUAUGGCCUUAAUUUAAUUUCAGUGGCCACAUUUCAACCAAUACGAAAUUCCUGACAUGUUAUUUAUUUGUUCAUGUAUGUAGGUACUAUAAGCAGGCAGGAAGC
rnacentral:misc_RNA from 1 species